UCCUGGCUCAGGAUGAACGCUGGCGGCGUGCCUAAUACAUGCAAGUCGAGCGAACGGACGAGAAGCUUGCUUCUCUGAUGUUAGCGGCGGACGGGUGAGUAACACGUGGAUAACCUACCUAUAAGACUGGGAUAACUUCGGGAAACCGGAGCUAAUACCGGAUAAUAUUUUGAACCGCAUGGUUCAAAAGUGAAAGACGGUCUUGCUGUCACUUAUAGAUGGAUCCGCGCUGCAUUAGCUAGUUGGUAAGGUAACGGCUUACCAAGGCAACGAUGCAUAGCCGACCUGAGAGGGUGAUCGGCCACACUGGAACUGAGACACGGUCCAGACUCCUACGGGAGGCAGCAGUAGGGAAUCUUCCGCAAUGGGCGAAAGCCUGACGGAGCAACGCCGCGUGAGUGAUGAAGGUCUUCGGAUCGUAAAACUCUGUUAUUAGGGAAGAACAUAUGUGUAAGUAACUGUGCACAUCUUGACGGUACCUAAUCAGAAAGCCACGGCUAACUACGUGCCAGCAGCCGCGGUAAUACGUAGGUGGCAAGCGUUAUCCGGAAUUAUUGGGCGUAAAGCGCGCGUAGGCGGUUUUUUAAGUCUGAUGUGAAAGCCCACGGCUCAACCGUGGAGGGUCAUUGGAAACUGGAAAACUUGAGUGCAGAAGAGGAAAGUGGAAUUCCAUGUGUAGCGGUGAAAUGCGCAGAGAUAUGGAGGAACACCAGUGGCGAAGGCGACUUUCUGGUCUGUAACUGACGCUGAUGUGCGAAAGCGUGGGGAUCAAACAGGAUUAGAUACCCUGGUAGUCCACGCCGUAAACGAUGAGUGCUAAGUGUUAGGGGGUUUCCGCCCCUUAGUGCUGCAGCUAACGCAUUAAGCACUCCGCCUGGGGAGUACGACCGCAAGGUUGAAACUCAAAGGAAUUGACGGGGACCCGCACAAGCGGUGGAGCAUGUGGUUUAAUUCGAAGCAACGCGAAGAACCUUACCAAAUCUUGACAUCCUUUGACAACUCUAGAGAUAGAGCCUUCCCCUUCGGGGGACAAAGUGACAGGUGGUGCAUGGUUGUCGUCAGCUCGUGUCGUGAGAUGUUGGGUUAAGUCCCGCAACGAGCGCAACCCUUAAGCUUAGUUGCCAUCAUUAAGUUGGGCACUCUAAGUUGACUGCCGGUGACAAACCGGAGGAAGGUGGGGAUGACGUCAAAUCAUCAUGCCCCUUAUGAUUUGGGCUACACACGUGCUACAAUGGACAAUACAAAGGGCAGCGAAACCGCGAGGUCAAGCAAAUCCCAUAAAGUUGUUCUCAGUUCGGAUUGUAGUCUGCAACUCGACUACAUGAAGCUGGAAUCGCUAGUAAUCGUAGAUCAGCAUGCUACGGUGAAUACGUUCCCGGGUCUUGUACACACCGCCCGUCACACCACGAGAGUUUGUAACACCCGAAGCCGGUGGAGUAACCUUUUAGGAGCUAGCCGUCGAAGGUGGGACAAAUGAUUGGGGUGAAGUCGUAACAAGGU
rnacentral:rRNA from 1 species